rnacentral:rRNA from 1 species
UAGCGAAGGGGGCUAGCGUUGUUCGGAAUUACUGGGCGUAAAGCGCGCGCAGGCGGCUAUCCAAGUCAGUGGUGAAAGCCCGGAGCUCAACUCCGGAACUGCCAUUGAAACUGUUUAGCUUGAGGAUGAGAGAGGUGAGUGGAAUUCCCAGUGUAGAGGUGAAAUUCGUAGAUAUUGGGAAGAACACCGGUGGCGAAGGCGGCUCACUGGCUCAUUACUGACGCUCAGGCGCGAUAGCGUGGGGAUCAAACAGG